CUACGGGAGGCAGCAGUGGGGAUAUUGCACAAUGGGCGCAAGCCUGAUGCAGCAACGCCGCGUGGGGGACGACGGCCUUCGGGUUGUAAACCUCUUUUAGCAGGAAGAAGCGCAAGUGACGGUACCUGCAGAAAAAGCACCGGCUAACUACGUGCCAGCAGCCGCGGUAA
rnacentral:rRNA from 1 species